UUUUGUUCAUCACCAGUUAUCAUCAUCAUCUUCGAUACAACAUCUCGUUAUUCUCAUUCUUCUUCUUCUUUUCACCCAAAUAAUAUUAUCUUAGCUUCGAAGGGUAGCAAAAAAAGCUUCCACAAAUCGUUUGACGAAGAAGUAAUUUUGAGAGAAGCUCCAAUUCGAAGAAGUUAAUUUUGGAACAGCUUUCAGAUUCCGAACAAACCGAGAAACCGAGAAACCGAAUUAACCAAUAUUACCGAAGUCGCAGGCCUAGUUCUUGUAAUGAAGCUGCCUAUCUAGUUUGGUGUUUUAGAUAGUAAUUUCUUAUGUACGGGUGUUUGUCCACCUCGAUGGUUACAGAAUCAAUUGUAUCAUGACAAUAUUAAUUCUUAAUCAAUAAAGUUUUUCGUUGAAAAGAA